rnacentral:rRNA from 1 species
UACGUAGGGGGCAAGCGUUAUCCGGAUUCACUGGGUGUAAAGGGAGCGUAGACGGCCAUGCAAGCCUGGAGUGAAGGCCCGGGGCCCAACCCCGGGACUGCUCUGGGAACUGUGUGGCUGGAGUGCGGGAGGGGCAGGCGGAAUUCCUGGUGUAGCGGUGAAAUGCGUAGAUAUUAGGAGGAACACCAGUGGCGAAGGCGGCUUACUGGACUGUAAAUGACGCUGAGGCUCGAAAGCGUGGGGAGCAAACAGG